UCAUAUAUGUAUAUGUGUAUAUAACACCUACUUACCAUUGCCAAGGCGUAGUCAAAGGCUCCUGGACUUUACUAUACCUGCCAGGACGUAGUCAAAGGCUCCUAGACUUCUAUACCUGCCAGGGCAUAGGCAAAGGCUCCUGGACUUAUCUCAGUGACUAUUGGAUCAUUCAGCAUUCACUCACAUCAACAAAUAACUAUGCAAUGCAACAAAUUCGUGGAGUCUAAUGCAAUCAACCUACUGCAUAACCAUGAUGCAUGAAAUAUGCUAAAAACAUUCCAGUUCUCAAGUAAAAGAAUUAAGUUUAGUUCCACUCACCUCUGGCUAUCUGGACUGACUCUGCAGGCUCUGUACACGCUGGAGCAGUACUCACUGCUGCUCUCUCUGGUUCCUCUGGUCUGUGUAGGCACAGAUAAACUCAAAUGAGGGACCAAACUACCCCAAGAACAACUCUAUUAACUUCCCCAAGAAACCCCUUAAACUCACGCAAACAUCCAUGCAAAGCAUGCAAAGGAAGGCUGGACAGAACACUUUCGGUGACAGGUUCGGCGGCCGAAAGUCCUCUCCAGUGCCGAAACUCAUGCACCUUCGGUAGCCGAAUCUUAACUUUCGGCAGCCGAACCCUUUCGGGGGCAAGUUUCGGGGGCUGAAAGGCACUCCAGAGACGAAAGUCUCUAACCUUCGGCGGCACCUUCGGCGGCCGAAACUCCCCUCCAGAGCUGAAAGUCCAAAAGCUCGGGGGCAAGCUUGGGCAACCGAAGCCACCUCCUCAUGGGUUCGGCGGCCGAAUGUACCUUCGGCUGCCGAACCUGAGUUCAUCCACAAGGCAGAAACUUGCUCUGCCUCUCGCCAAAUGCACAAAACGCUCCCAAUCUCAAACACCUCAAUUUCUCAACUUGCAUACACCCAAGUAUAUGCUCCAAGGGGUCAAAAACUACCUAAAAACCCCAACAAACAGCAAAGCAUAACACAUAUACAAGCUUUUCUCACAAAAACAUCAAAAAUGCUCUUUUAACCCUAUUCAUGCAACUCUCCCCCAAAACCUUAAAAAUCUUCCAUAAAACAUAAAAACAAGCUCAGGAUCUUCACUUACCUCUUGAAACCAAGAAGAUGAACGAUCCUAACGUGGAGUUUUGGAGCAACUCUCCUUCAAACUCUCCAAACUUCAAAAUUCAAGUUUUUAACUCAAAACCUUCAAAAAAUUAUAAAACUCAAUCAAAUCUUUGCACGAUUGCAUGAACACAUGAAGAAAACAUCAUGAAGACAGAGUCUCACCUUAGAAAGGGAAAGAAAGCGGCAAAGCUUAUCCUUUCAACCGACUGAGGUCCUUUUAUAGGUGGCUGCCAGACCACCUUCGGCGGCCACACGUGAAACCGAAAGUCAUGCAUGUUCGGCGGCCAAAUGUCUCAUUCGACGGCCGAACCUGGCUUUUCUGCCUUGGUUCUUUUCUUUCAAAAACUCUUUUCAUUUCAACUUUAAACUAUGAAAACAUACUAUCUUACUUAAGAAAAACAUAAAGCUUACCCGUCUAGAGAAUUUCGACAUCCUGGAUUCCACCGGACGACAGGAAUUCCGAUGCCGGACUUUCGCCGGGUAUUACAUUCUCCCCCCCUUAAGAACAUUCAUCCUCGGAUGUUCCUCAAACAACAAAAAAACAAAUAAAAAGGAGGAAACGAACCUCAAAACAGAUAUGGAUACUGCUGAAGCAUAGACUCCCGCAUCUCCCAGGUGCAUUCUUCUAAAUUAUGGUGGUUCCACAGAACUUUCACUAUCGGAAUCUCCUUGUUCCUUAGCUGUCUGAUCUGUGUGUCAAGGAUCCGCAUUGGCUGCUCUAUAUACGUGAGAUCUCCAAGGACCUCCACAUCAGGCGCACUUAGAACCUGAUUCGGAUCUGACACAAACUGCCGUAGCAUAAAAACAUGAAAUACCGGGUGAAUUUUCUCCGUAGAAGUAGGUAAAUCCAGCUUAUACGACACAUUUCCGAUCCUCUGUAAAAUCUCAAAGGGUCCAAUGUACCGUGGAGCUAACUUAUCCUUCUUUCCAAAACGAACCACUCCUUUCAUUGGAGACACUUUUAGUAAUACCCAAUUACCCUCCUGGAACUCUAACAGUUUCCUGCGAACGUCCGCAUAGCUUUUCUGUCUACUCUGAGCUGUUCUGAUCCUCUCUCUGAUCAUGGGCACUGUUCUACUGGUAAUCUCUACUAACUCUGGCCCUGCAAGAGCUUUCUCUCCUACCUCUUCCCAGCAAACAGGUGAUCUGCACUUCCUCCCAUAUAAUGCUUCAUAAGGAGCCAUCCCUAUGCUAGCAUGAUGACUGUUAUUGUAGGCAAACUCCACCAGAGGUAGAUGCUGCCUCCAAGAACCGCCAAAGUCUAACACACACAUUCUAAGCAUAUCCUCUAUGGUCUGGAUGGUCCUCUCUGACUGUCCAUCAGUCUGCGGAUGGAAAGCAGUGCUAAAAUCCAACCUUGUGCCCAUUGCACUCUGCAGACUUCGCCAAAAUCUAGAGGUGAAUUGAGGUCCUCUGUCUGAGACUAUAGACACUGGAACUCCAUGCAAUCUCACUAUCUCAUCCAGAUAUACCUGUGCCAACUUAUCCACAGAAUAGUUACUUCUAACGGGAAUGAAAUGAGCAGAUUUCGUGAGUCUGUCCACAAUCACCUAUAUGGAGUCUAUCCUGUUGGACGCUGCCGGUAAGCCCACUACAAAAUCCAUAGCUAUGUUCUCCCAUUUCCACUCUGGAAUCGGCAGUGGGUUAAGCAUUCCAGCCGGCUUCUGAUGUUCUAGUUUCACUCUCUGACAAACCUCACAGGCUGUCACAAACUGCGCCACUUCUUUCUUCAUGGCUGGCCACCAAUAUACCUUUUUCAAAUCCUGAUACAUCUUGGUGGCUCCUGGGUGAACACUAUACCUCGCAUUAUGAGCUUCCCUCAUAAUGUCUUCCUUCAAACUGCUACUAUCUGGUACACAAAGUCGACUCCCAAAGCGAAGGAUCCCUUUGCUGUCAAAUCUGAACUCUGCACUAUUGCCUGACUGAACAGUCCUGGCAAUUUUCAUCAACUCUGGGUCCUCGUGCUGCUUCUGAGCUAUCUGCUCCAGAAAAACAGGUGUCACUCUCAUCUGUGCUAUCAAUGCACUCGUACCAGACAACUCUAGUUGUAACCCUUCCUCUAUGAGCUUAUAAAGCUCCAUCACUACUGGUCUCCGUUCUGCUGCUAUAUGGGAUAAACUGCCUAGUGACUUCCAGCUUAAGGCGUCUACCACAACAUUCGCCUUACCCGGAUGAUACUGGAUCUUGCAAUCAUAAUCACUGAGCAAUUCCACCCAUUGUCUCUGUCUUAAAUUCAGCUCUCUCUGACUCAAGAUGUACUGUAAACUCUUGUGAUCAGUGAAGAUCUCGCAUUUAACCCCGUAGAGGUAAUGCCUCCACAUCUUGAGUGUAAAGAUAACUGUUGCCAUCUCCAGGUCAUGGGUGGGGUAAUUCAACUCGUGCUUCUUCAACUGUCUAGAAGCAUAAGCAAUCACCCUAUCACUAUGCAUCAAAACACAACCCAAUCCCACUCGAGAUGCAUCACAGUACACUGUGAAAUCCUCAUUACUACCAGGCACAGCUAAUACUGGGGCUGAUGUCAAUCUCCUCUUGAGCUCCUCAAAGCUCUCUUCACACUGGUCUGACCAGAUAAACUUCUGGUUCUUCUGAGUCAGUUUGGUCAUAGGAGCCGCUAUCUUCGCGAAGUCCUGAACGAACCUCCUGUAGUAACCUGCCAAUCCCAGAAAGCUUUUAAUCUCAGUCACUGUCGUGGGUCUGGGCCAGUUAGCUACAGCCUCUAUCUUCUUGGGGUCUAUCUCAAUCCCUUCUGCUGAUACCACGUGUCCCAAGAAGGAAAUGCUCCUCAACCAAAACUCACACUUAGAGAACUUGGCAUACAAACCAUGCUCUCUCAGUGUCUGUAGAACUCUCCUCAGAUGCUGGGCAUGCUCCUCUGCAUCUCUGGAAUACACUAAGAUGUCAUCAAUAAAAACAAUAACAAAGUGAUCCAGAUACUCGCUGAAAACUCUGUUCAUGAGAUCCAUGAAUGCUGUAGGGGCGUUAGUCAACCCGAACGGCAUCACUAAGAACUCAUAAUGCCCAUAUCUGGUCCUGAAAGCUGUCUUUGGCACAUCUGCCUCUCUGACUCUCAACUGAUGAUACCCGGAUCUUAGAUCUAUUUUCGAGAAACAACCCACUCCAGCUAGCUGGUCGAAUAGAUCAUCAAUCCUAGGUAGGGGAUAUCUAUUCUUGAUAGUGACCUUGUUCAACUGUCUGUAGUUGAUACAAAGUCUGAGGGAUCCAUCAUUCUUUCUGACAAAGAGCACUGGAGCAUCCCAAGGUGAGGUACUAGGGCGGAUGAAACCCUUAUCUACCAAAUCCUGCAACUAUUCUUUCAACUCCUUUAACUCUGCUGGUGCCAUCCUGUAGGGAGGAAUAGAGAUAGGUCUGGUCUCAGGCAGCAAUUCAAUUUCAAACUCUAUCUCCCUACCAGGUGGUAGUCCUGGAAGUUCGGCUGGGAAAACUUCGAGAAACUCUCGGACUACUUGUACUGUAGCUGGUUCCCUAACCUGACUAUCUAGCUCCCUCACAUGAGCUAGAAAUCCCUGACAACCCCUCCUAAGCAAACGACGAGCCUGAAGGGCUGAAAUCAAACCUCUGGGUGUACCCCUCCUGUCUCCUCUAAAGACACACUCUGACCCAUCCUGGUCUCUGAGACUAACUACCUUCUCUCUACAGUCCAAGGUCGCACCAUAUGUAGAUAACCAAUCCAUCCCUAGAAUGACAUCAAAAUCUGUCAAGUCUAGAACCACAAGGUCAGCUGGAAGGCAUCUACACUCUAUGAACACUGGACUGAAACGACAGACGAACGCUGCCACUGAUGGGUCAGACUUGGGUCCACUGACCCAGAAAGGAUACUCUAACUCAGAAAUCAUCAAACCCAACCUCUCUAUGGCUCUCGAAGCAAUAAAGGAAUGAGAAGCACCGGGGUCCAUCAAAGCAUACACAUCUGAACACCCAAUGAUGAGAUUACCUGACACCACUGUGUUCGACGUGUUAGCCUCCUCCUGUGUCACAGUGAAAAUCCGUGAUGGGGCUACCGAAUUUCCACCUCGGGAACCUGCUGCUGAAGUAGAGGCUGCCCCUCUCCCUCUACCUCUGCCACUACUCUGAGGCACGGCUGGAGCUGCUGGCUGUACUACACUGCCUGAACUCAUCUGCUGGGAUGGUGCAAAAGUCACCUAAGGACACUCCCGAGCAAAAUGCCCUUCCUGUCCACAUCUAAAACAGGCUGAAGAUCCCAACUGACAAGCUCCCUUGUGUGGUCUCCCACAUCGUCUACAUACUGGACUGCUUGCGCCAGAGCUUGAGCCACUACCCAUUCCCAGGCCAGACUUGACUUUACUCCAGAACUUACUCUUUGUUCCUUUUGCUCUAUCCCAUCUCUUGCUGCCUGAAGUUCCUGAACUGGGGGCCUUAGAACCCGAAGCCUGUGCUUUUGACUGUCUCUGAAUAUUGGCACUUGCUUCCAUUUUCCUGGCUGCGUCCACUAUCGAGUGGAAACUCUCCUUUUCUGCUGGAAGAAUCAAAGAAGAAUACCUGGGAUGCAAUCUCAUAGUAUAUCACCUUGCCUUCUUCUGAUCAGUAUCAUAGGCUUGACCCACAUACUGAAGCAAAUCCAGGAACUUAUCUGUAAACUCGUCAACACUCAUCUCGUCUGUCUAUCUCAACUGCUCAAAUUCUAUUACUUUCAUCUCCCUGGAGCUAUCAGGAAAAGCCCACCCUGCAAACUCAUUGGCAAACUCUCCCCAUGACAUACUGUCCAUCCUGGGCUCCAUAUAGUUCUUGAACCAUUCUCGAGCUUUCUUACACUUAAGUGUAAACCCCGCCAUUUCUAUGGCUCUACUAUCAUCUGCUCCCAACUCAUCAGUAAUCAUCUUCAUAGUUCGCAAAUACUCAAAUGGAUCAUCUCCUGGGUUGAAUUUAGGAGCAUCCAAUUUCAAGUACUCUGUCAUUUGCACCUUACCUCCAGAUGAGCUAGGUUGAUGUCUUUGGGCAACAGGAGCUACUGGUUCUGAUUGUGGUGGUGGAGGUACUGGUUCAUUUAGCUAUGGGUGUGCUGCACUUAGAUGGGUAGGGGAAGGUGGAUACAUAGGAUAUGGUGGGUAAUAAUGAGGAUAAGGCAUAUAUGGCAUGUAAGUAGGAUAUGGGACAAAACUAGAGUACUCCGACAUACCUUCCAUCGGAUACCCUGGGUCCUGAGAAAAGGCUGGAUACCCAAACCCUGAGGUCUGAGCGCCUCCCUGCGACUCUUCCAUACCUUCGUCAGAUCUGCCUACACUCAUGCUUUCAUCUAGAGACUGGUCAAUCUCCAUGGCCUCUGAUCUUCCUCCUCUCACUGUACCUCUUCUGCUCUCGUCUACAGACCUUCGAGGGUCUAUUCUCUCACUAUCUGGUGGGACUCCAGUCAAUCGAGCUGAUCGACGAGUUCCUCUCAUCUUACCUCUGAAAAACACAGCACAUAUCACAACAUAUAACUACCGCAUAUCACAAUCAAGCACAUGCAUAAAUCAUAGCAUCAAAUAGACAGGACGCAACAUCCUAUCCUAGUGGACAUGAUUCCCUAUUGUGCUUGACCAUUUCUAACCUCUAUGAGCCCGACACUCUCUCUCUAUAGGUCCGAUCAUGUGAACCUAGGGCUCUGAUACCAAUCUGUAACGACCCUAAAAUGGACCGUCACCGGCGCUAGGAUUCAGGUCGGCUUCAGGCCGCCAGAACCCGUAGCAAGCCUGCUAUACUCUCUGUGUACCUGUAAAUCUCAUACAUGAUCAUACAUUUUCUGCAAACAAUACAACUCUUUUCUGAACCAAGGCUUAACCUGUGUAUGCACUAUCUCUGUACUCUGUACUCUGUACUCUGUACCGCUAACUAGAGCUUGCUCUAGAUGGGUUAACUCAUACUUGUUAAGCCUGGUUUUUCACAUACUCUGUAAAACAUAUAUACAUAUACAGAUCAUGUACAUAACAAAAGAUUAACAAUACAAAAUAACUAAGUCAAGCACAACUUUAACUGUAUACACAACUAGUACAUCUCUUUAAUAUUACAUGUCCACUCUAAGCUAUUACACAACUCUUUUCUCUUCCUGUACUCUGCUGAUCUCCACUGUACACUGUACACUGUACCUGCAAGACUGGGGUUAAGGGAGUGGGAUGAGCUCUAUAGCCCAGUGAGUAGAACAGUAAAACAUAUCAUUAAAACAUGACCUUAUGGAAUGCAUCAUAACACAGACAAUCCAUAGCAAGGGUAAACCUAUCACCAAAUAGUCCCAGUAUCUCAUACCAGGGCAUAGUCAAAGGCACCUGGAUUUCCUGUCUCAUAUAUGUAUAUGUGUAUAUAACACCUACUUACCAUUACCAGGGCGUAGUCAAAGGCUCCUGGACUUUACUAUACCUGCCAGGGCAUAGGCAAAGGCUCCUGGACUUAUCUCAGUGACUAUUGGAUCAUUCAGCAUUCACCCACAUCAACAAAUAACUAUGCAAUGCAACAAAUUCGUGGAGUCUAAUGCAAUCAACCUACUGCAUAACCAUGAUGCAUGAAAUAUGCUAAAAACAUUCCAG
rnacentral:lncRNA from 1 species